UACGUAGGGUGCAAGCGUUGUCCGGAAUUAUUGGGCGUAAAGAGCUCGUAGGCGGUCUGUCGCGUCGGCUGUGAAAACUCGGGGCUCAACUCCGAGCUUGCAGUCGAUACGGGCAGGCUAGAGUUCGGCAGGGGAGACUGGAAUUCCUGGUGUAGCGGUGAAAUGCGCAGAUAUCAGGAGGAACACCGGUGGCGAAGGCGGGUCUCUGGGCCGAUACUGACGCUGAGGAGCGAAAGCGUGGGGAGCGAAACAGGG
rnacentral:rRNA from 1 species